rnacentral:rRNA from 1 species
UGACAGUACUCCUACGGGGAGGCAGCAGUGGGGGAAUAUUGCACAAUGGGCGCAAGCCUGAUGCAGCCAUGCCGCGUGUGUGAAGAAGGCCUUCGGGUUGUAAAGCACUUUCAGUCGUGAGGAAGGUAGUGUAGUUAAUAGCUGCAUUAUUUGACGUUAGCGACAGAAGAAGCACCGGCUAACUCCGUGCCAGCAGCCGCGGUAAUACGGAGGGUGCGAGCGUUAAUCGGAAUUACUGGGCGUAAAGCGCAUGCAGGUGGUUUGUUAAGUCAGAUGUGAAAGCCCGGGGCGUCAACCUCGGAAUAGCAUUUGAAACUGGCAGACUAGAGUACUGUAGAGGGGGGUAGGAAUUUCAGGUGUAGCGGUGAAAUGCGUAGAGAUCUGAAGGAAUACCGGUGGCGAAGGCGGCCCCCUCGGACAGAUACUGACACUCAGAUGCGAAAGCGUGGGGAGCAAACAGGAUUAGAUACCCUGGUAG